rfam:Canis lupus familiaris chromosome 14, whole genome shotgun sequence.
ACCUGGAUGGCUCACUAGGUAGAGCAUGUGACUCUUGAUCUCAGGGUGGUGAGUUUGAGCCCCACAUUGGGUG